rnacentral:rRNA from 1 species
UACGGAGGGUGCAAGCGUUAAUCGGAAUUACUGGGCGUAAAGCGUGCGCAGGCGGUUUGUUAAGCCUGUUGUGAAAUCCCCGAGCUCAACUUGGGAAUUGCAAUGGAUACUGGCAGGCUGGAGUAUGGUAGAGGAAGGUGGAAUUCCCGGUGUAGCAGUGAAAUGCGUAGAGAUCGGGAGGAACACCAGUGGCGAAGGCGGCCUUCUGGACCAAUACUGACGCUCAUGCACGAAAGCGUGGGGAGCAAACAGG